UUGCUCGUGUAUUUCUUUAAAGAAAAUAAUAUUUAAUUUAUAUAAGUUCAGCUCCCCUGUGUAAGAAAAGCUUCUAGCCUUACCUUAUUUGAUGUGCACAUUGGCCUGGUUUAAACCAUAGAGACUGCAACACCCCAUGCAAUAACCACUGCUAACUAUCUUAAAGAAGCACAUGUAGUGAACCAUCUUUGUACCAAAUUUUUAAAAUAUGUACAUGUUAUUGGAGAUUUUAUUUGAUCUUCUUGAACUUGGUGCUGUUUUUUUCCCCCUUCCAUUCAGAUGGAUUUCUUUGCUUCUGUGUGAGUAUGUGUAGGUUUGUAUUUGCAUGUGUGUGUUUUAAACAUUAAUCUAAUUUUGGCAGUUUUAAAAGUUUGCCACUGAGCACAUGUUUGCUAGUUCAUCAGAACCUACUCAUCCUUUUCUGACCCGAAACCUGAUGGUGUCCAGCUAUAGAGCAAAUCAGGCCUGCAGGCUGCCUUCAUGGGAUGAAAUGGUGCUUAGAGAGAGACUAGGUUCAGUCCCAUGGGACUGAUCUCAGCACAUCCGUCAGUUGGAUUCAUAUGUUUACAUGUUAAAUAAGUGUUGAUCUCAAACCCUCAACUUCACCUCUUGCUUUAUGACAGAAAUUCCUAAUAUUUCACAUUUUUCUUCCUUUAGCUCUUAUUCCAUUCAGGAGUGGAAAACAUGCAAGUGACCCUUGCAUGCCAAGCUGCUCAGAAAAAUGCUUUGAUGGUGGCUGUCCAACAGGCAUCCUUCUAUCACACGUCCCGAUGGGGCUGUUCUGCUGAUGUGAAGGAAACAAGUUCAGAUCUGAGAAAUCAUGGUGGAAUGGGUCCAGCCAGAAAAAGAAUUUCCGGAAUUGUGAAUGGCAUAGAAAACUUGCAGUUAGCCCCAACUCCUAAAGUUCCAGACACCCUCACUCAUCCUUUGGAAAGAUUCCAGGCUACCAAAAGGUACUUCACUAGGGAUUUGUUUAAAAUAACAAAAGUGUUCUCUUUUAAAUCAAUUAAUAACAUAGUAUUAUGGUAUUGAAGGAUGCCUAAGUUCCCAAAGUGACUAGCACGUGUUUAAUUUUUAAGACCUUGUGAUGAAGACCUUGUAUGAACACUAAGUAGGCUCAACUUCUUCCAAUAUACAGUUUAUGAAAGACAAUUAUCAAUGGUUCCUUACUUCAACCCCUUUUCUCCUCUCUUCUCCUUUUCCCUCCUUUCUCUUUGUCUUCCCUCUCUCUAUAUUUUUCAAAUAUAGACAGAACACAAGGAUCUCGGCCUCUCCAAACUUUCCGUGUUUAUCUUAAACUGAAAAACACAGAACUAACCUUACUAUUCAAGGGUUUUACUAUUGCUUAGAAUAAUAUGGUGCUGCAUUAUCAGAAAGGCACAGCCUCUACAGAGAGAUGGCUGUAAAUCAGGGAAGUCCUAUUAUGUCUUGACCUCUUUUCACUAAGACAGAGAGAGAUACUUGUAUUUUAUAAGAAAUAUUCUGACUAUUUCCAAUGAUAGUUUAAUUCUGAAAGAUUUUAAAUGGAAAAAAUAAUAAGCAAAACUGCUCUAUUACCCAAGAUGCCAUUAAUUUGACACGUGGCCAGAGUUCGAAUAGAGUUCACAGUCCUAACAUGUGGAUGGAACAUUUAAGACCAAUAUGUCUAGCCAAGAGGACCCUUGAGAGUCCUCUUCAGUCUAGGGACCCCUGCAGUAGAGGCCAGGAGGGCACAAAGGGACCUGGGUAG
ensembl:lncRNA